rnacentral:rRNA from 1 species
GAUGAGCGCUGGCGGCGUGCCUAAUACAUGCAAGUCGAGCGGUAACAGGGAGAGCUUGCUCUCUGCUGACGAGCGGCGGACGGCUGAGUAACACGUAGGAACGUACCCCAAAGUGAGGGAUAACUGCUCGAAAGAGUAGCUAAUACCGCAUGUGAUCCACGGAUUAAAGCUUUAUGCGCUUUGGGAACGGCCUGCGUCCGAUUAGCUAGUUGGUGAGGUAAUAGCUCACCAAGGCGAUGAUCGGUAGCUGGUCUGAGAGGAUGAUCAGCCGGACUGGGACUGAGACACGGCCCAGACUCCUACGGGAGGCAGCAGUAGGGAAUUUUCCACAAUGGGCGAAAGCCUGAUGGAGCAACGCCGCGUGCAGGAUGAAUGCCUUCGGGUUGUAAACUGCUUUUGUUAGUGAAGAUUAUGACGGUAGCUAACGAAUAAGGGUCUGCUAACUACGUGCCAGCCGCCGCGGUA